CAUGGAGAUGUGACUGAAUUCAAACAGAGGGCACAGGGUGGGAUGAAGCAAAUGUACUGCUGUUUUUCCAACUCCAGGUGAACUGGCAGACGAAAGAAACUAUGUGCAAAUCUGUGCCGCAGAAAAGGCACAGCACACGAUGUGAGAAAUGCAGAGGAUAGAAACCUUCUGGAUGUCAACACUGAAGGAAAAAGCUUCAGACUGAGCUCUGACCAUCUUAAGAAACCGAAGCAGGAAAUGACUCCAGAAACGCAAUUCCAAGUUUUAUUAUUUCCGCUGCUUGAUUCUCAGCUUUAUCUUGUACUUUUAAUACUGAACUAUGCUCCUCAGAACACCAUCUAGACCAAAGAAAUCUUUCUGUUAGAGUAUCAGCCUUCCUUUGUGAAUGCAUGAAAAACACAGUAAGAACUCUCUACUAGGAGACCCCCUGCUUUUCUGCACAUUGGUCAUCUGCAAAGAGAAGAGGGGAAGUGAAAAAGGGAAGCUGGAUGGAGAAUGGAGUUGGAUGGAGAAUAAAGAUGGCUGGGAAAUUUUAGCAAAACUUUCUCCUGAAAGAGAGAUUCAAAAGUGUCAAAAACUUUCAUCAAACAGAAGCGAUUGAUUUUCUUCUUCUUUCACAGGAACGUUGAGGAGUCCAUGAAGCAUUUUAGUUGAAAAAGUCUUGGUGAAGUAAGGCUCAACAUGCUUUUUAAAAAGUACAAAAUGGAUAAUACUGAAGCAUAGUAUUUGUCUAAGUCAUGCUCUUACACUUGAUUUGAGAAACAGUGGAAGCCACCUCAUUGUAGUUUUUUUAAAUUCCACAUUUCCACAAUGCAAAAUCCAUUCUCUGUCAGCAUUGGCUAGCAAUCUCCCCUUCUACACUAUGUCCCAGAACACACCCCAAAGGCAGCUAUAGGUCUUUUUGAGUAUGCUUAUAUGGCUUAGGAGAAGGGCAGGAAG